AUGGAAAAAGGGCCAGAGGCACGUAAGAGAGGAUGUGGGAAGACCACUUAGGAGGCCGUUGUGGUCCAGGGAAGAAGGACAGUGGUUUGGAUUCAGAUGGGGCAGUGACGAUGCAAAGUGCUGCACACAGUCCAAAGCGACUGAGGCAAUAAGAUGGGGCGAGAUGUGCUCAUCUGGCCACAGAGGCCCAGGGGGAGAGGUGUGUCAAAGGCCUCCAAGUUUCUGAGGGGCACGGCUGGCUGGUGCCUCUCACUGGGCGCUGGCCAGGGCUGCCGCCAGACGGGACAGGACGGCUGAUCUGCACGACCACCUCCCCGGAAGCAGAGCCUGCAAACACCAGGCAGGACUGAGAACCAGGAACUGCUGUGUCCACCAAACCUUCACUCCAGCCUCAUCCUUCCUGAGCCAUCAGCAGCUCUAGGUGACGUUCACUCCCUCCAGCUUCAGACAUUUUCUUCGCCCCCUCGUCUGCUGCUCUCCCUCCGGCCCCACUGGACGCUCCAUCCAGGUCUCUGUGGAGCCCAUCCAUCAGCAAAUCCUGGUAACUGUGCCUUCAAAGCACAUCCUGAACUGGACCACCUGUCAGCGCCUUUGCCACUGCCGCCCCGGUCCACCUCCUGGAUUUCUGCAGGAGCCUCCUAACUGCCUCCGUGCCUCCACCUCUAGCCCCUUCAGUCUGUUCUCAACACAGCAGCCAGACGGCCCUUUGAAAAUAUAAGAGCCUGUCGCUUCCGUGUUGAACA